AGGACGAACGCUGGCGGCGUGCCUAAUACAUGCAAGUCGAGCGAAUGAUUAGAGAAGCUUGCUUCUCUCUGAUUUAGCGGCGGACGGGUGAGUAACACGUGGGUAACCUACCCUAUAGACUGGGAUAACUUCGGGAAACCGGAGCUAAUACCGGAUAAUACUUCGAAACACAUGUUUUUGAAGUUGAAAGAUGGUUUCGGCUAUCACUAUAGGAUGGACCCGCGGCGCAUUAGCUAGUUGGUGGGGUAAUGGCUCACCAAGGCAACGAUGCGUAGCCGACCUGAGAGGGUGAUCGGCCACACUGGGACUGAGACACGGCCCAGACUCCUACGGGAGGCAGCAGUAGGGAAUCUUCCACAAUGGACGAAAGUCUGAUGGAGCAACGCCGCCGUGAGUGAAGAAGGAUUUCGGUUCGUAAAACUCUGUUGCAAGGGAAGAACAAGUAGCGUAGUAACUGGCGCUACCUUGACGGUACCUUGUUAGAAAGCCACGGCUAACUACGUGCCAGCCGCCGC
rnacentral:rRNA from 1 species